ACCUGAGUGGCUCAGUCGGUUGAGCAUCUGACUUUGGCUCAGAGCAUGAUAUCAUUGGUUCAUGGGUUUCAGCCCCAUGUCAGCUG
rnacentral:tRNA from 1 species